GCUAUGGCAACCAGGUGUGUGGGUUCUUCAGCAAAUCAGCAACUUAAAUGAAUCAGUGGUGCUGAAAUACAGGGAAAAGCAGACACUACAUCCUUUCUAGAACUGGAUACUGUCACCAGUGUUUUAGACGAGGCUGAAGAGGCCUGGUGCUCGGCAGGACAGCCCUGAUGGAUGUUUGGCGAGCUCUGAACGCCGUGCCUGCCUCGUCGCGUGUGACUCAGUGGGCGUGGCCCAGCGCAGCAGGACUGGUCGUGCUGCCACUCACCCUGACCCAGGGGCAAUGCGCAAUCUUGGCCAUUUACUGCAUGAGUGACCUCGCGCGUAGACUGCAAUGCAUAAUUAAUGUAAAAAAAAACACAUAAAACAUGCGUGUGCCCCGCAGAGGGAAUAGAAUAAAAAUCAAUCUGGGUCAUCUGA